rnacentral:tRNA from 1 species
UCCUUGGUAACUAAGUCGGUAAAGAAUCUGCCUGCAAAGCAGGAGACCUGGGUUCAAUCCCUGGGUCAGGAA